AAAGCAGGACGCAAUUACAGUGCUUCAUUUUGUGGAAGGACUGCCAUUACCCUGCUGAGAGCAACAUCCUGAUUCAGAGCAGUAACUCAUCACCUCUUGGGGAUAGUAUACACUCUGUAGUAGGGACAACU